rnacentral:rRNA from 1 species
GCCGAAGGGGGCAAUCGUUGUUCGGAAUUACUGGGCGUAAAGGGCGCGUAGGCGGCCAUUUGAGUCAGACGUGAAAGGCCUGGGCUCAACCUGGGAAUUGCGUUUGAUACUGGAUGGCUUGAGAGCGGGAGAGGAUGGUGGAAUUCCCAGUGUAGAGGUGAAAUUCGUAGAUAUUGGGAAGAACACCGGUGGCGAAGGCGGCCAUCUGGACCGUAUCUGACGCUGAGGCGCGAAAGCGUGGGGAGAAAACAGG